rnacentral:rRNA from 1 species
UACGGGGGGAGCAAGCGUUGUUCGGAUUUACUGGGCGUAAAGGGCGCGUAGGCGGCCACCGCAAGUCGGUUGUGAAAUCUCUGGGCUUAACCCAGAAAGGUCAACCGAUACUGCGGGGCUAGAGUGCAGAAGGGGCAACUGGAAUUCUCGGUGUAGCGGUGAAAUGCGUAGAUAUCAGGAGGAACACCGAUGGCGAAGGCAGGUCUCUGGGCAUUAACUGACGCUGAGGAGCGAAAGCAUGGGGAGCGAACAGG